GUCGUCAUGACGUCGUAACGACCGAUCAACCGCGAGAUGGCCAAGACCAGAAAAACGUCGGGAACGGAGAGAGAGUGGUAUAUUCGGUGCUCUAGCAGCCAGAGCAUAAUGUCGGACAGUAUAAUAACACACAUUGAUAGAGUAUGGUAUGCUAUAGCGUAGUUGGCAAAUGGCGGUCGCGAAAUGAAUAAUAAUGUGCAGUUGUGGUUUUUGUUAUGUUAAAUAUUGGACGAACGAAGUGUAAGAUGUUAGUGAAGAGUCCUACGUCGGAGAAAAAGCAAAGAAGGAAUAAUGUCAGAAGUGCCAGGAGCGGUGCCGACGAAGCUACCAGAAGCUAUCGUGUCCACCGCGGAAAUACUAGGUCUCCAAAAACAAGUUCGGAACGACUGAAUCUUCAACAUUUUUGGAUAAAAAUUCUACACGUCCAAAGGGUGGCCAACUCAGAAGUCAAACGGAUUAUUUGAAAUUGAAACUGAAAUGAUUCGUGCUACCUAUAAGGUGACCACCCUUUGGACUUGCACUGAAAAACAUGACCCGCGCUCAUACCUCAUGUAAAUAUUUAUACUUCAAAAAGAACGAAUUACAAUUCGUCAUCAGUUAAAAACAAUGUACACAGUUUUUCCAAAAUAAACAAAAAACCGAGUUUUGAAAAA
rnacentral:misc_RNA from 1 species